GACGUAGGGCGCGAGCGUUGUCCGGAUUUAUUGGGCGUAAAGAGCUCGUAGGCGGCUCAUCGCGUCUGCCGUGAAAACCUGUGGCUCAACUACAGGCUUGCGGUUGAUACGGGUGGGCUGGAGUUCGGUAGGGGAGACUGGAAUUCCUGGUGUAGCGGUGAAAUGCGCAGAUAUCAGGAGGAACACCGGUGGCGAAGGCGGGUCUCUGGGCCGAUACUGACGCUGAGGGGCGAAAGCGUGGGGAGCGAACAGG
rnacentral:rRNA from 1 species